rnacentral:rRNA from 1 species
AGUGAACGCUGGCGGUAGGCCUAACACAUGCAAGUCGAACGGCAGCACAGUAAGAGCUUGCUCUUACGGGUGGCGAGUGGCGGACGGGUGAGGAAUACAGCGGAAUCUACUUUUUCGUGGGGGAUAACGUAGGGAAACUUACGCUAAUACCGCAUACGACCUACGGGUGAAAGCAGGGGAUCUUCGGACCUUGCGCGAUUGAAUGAGCCGAUGUCGGAUUAGCUAGUUGGCGGGGUAAAGGCCCACCAAGGCGACGAUCCGUAGCUGGUCUGAGAGGAUGACCAGCCCCACUGGAACUGAGACACGGUCCAGACUCCUACGGGAGGACGCAGUGGGGAAUAUUGGACAAUAGGCGCAAGCCUGAUCCAGCAAUACCGCGUGGGUGAAGAAGGCCUUCGGGUUGUAAAGCCCUUUUGUUGGGAAAGAAAAGCAGCAGGUUAAUACCCCGAUGUUCUGACGGUACCCAAAGAAUAAGCACCGGCUAACUUCGUG